CCUACGGGUGGCAGCAGUGGGGGAUAUUGCACAAUGGGGGAAACCCUGAUGCAGCGACGCCGCGUGAGUGAAGAAGUAUUUCGGUAUGUAAAGCUCUAUCAGCAGGGAAGAAAAUGACAGUACCUGACCAAGAAGCCCCGGCUAACUACGUGCCAGCAGCCGCGGUAAUACGGAGGGGGCAAGCGUUAUCCGGAUUUACUGGGUGUAAAGGGAGCGUAGACGGUUAUGUAAGUCUGGAGUGAAAGGCCUGGGCUCAACCCGGGGACUGCUUUGGAAACUGUGUAACUGGAGUGCAGGAGGGGCAGGCGGAAGUCCUGGUGUAGCGGUGAAAGGCGUAGAUAUCAGGAGGAACACCGGCGGCGAAGGCGGCCUGCUGGACUGAAACUGACGUUGAGGCUCGAAAGCGUGGGGAGCAAACAGGAUUAGAUACCCUUGUAGUC
rnacentral:rRNA from 1 species